rnacentral:misc_RNA from 1 species
AAUGGCUCCUAAAUUGCCCUUCUUCUAUCUUUUGAUAGCCUUCCUCUUUCUUACAAUCCAACCGUUUGUGUCUCAGUCCAGAAUCUUGAAAUCUGAGGACCAAACUUUGAAAUCCCUUCAAAUUUUGGAGGAAGUCCACAAGGGCCAAACAAUUGCUGGGCUCAAUAAAGUGAAAAAAUACCUCAACAAAUUUGGAUUCUAUGCAAAUCCAAAUGACAGCAAUCUAACCGAUGAUUUUGAUGAUCACUUGGAGUCUGCACUCAAAACGUACCAAAAAUAUUAUCAUCUCAACAUUACUGGAAGCCUCAACUCCAAUACCAUAAAAAAAAUGAUGAUACCUCGAUGUGGAGUUCCUGAUGAUAUCACCAAUCUCACAUCCCUGAACCAGUCCCUUUAUAAUUUCCCAAGAGGGUUUCCGAGAUGGUCUGAGUUUGAACUCACCUACUCGUUCAGCUCCAGUGUCCCUGAUGAUCAAGAUUUCAGGUCAGCUUUUGCACAAGCUUUUCAGAGCUGGGAAGGUGCAUCCCAAUUCAAGUUUAAAGAAGCAUCAGCUGAUGAAAAAGCAAAUAUUGUGAUUGGGUUUUACAGUGGUGAUCAUGGGGAUGGAGUGCCUUUUGAUGGGCCUGGCAGGGUUUUGGCUCAUUCUUUUUACCCACAAGAUGGAAGAUCCCAUUAUGAUGCAGACGAGAGUUGGAGUACAAAUCCUGACAUGAGCCACAUGGACUUGGAAUCUGUGGCUCUUCAUGAAUUAGGUCACGUUCUUGGACUUGCACAUAGUCAAGAUCCAAAUGCUGUUAUGCACUCAGGAAUUGCGCCUGGAACUAUCAAAAGGGAUCUCACUCAAGAUGAUACUCAAGGCAUACAAGCCUUGUAUCCUAAUUAAUUAGUCAUAUUAUAUAUGUAAGUUUUAAGAAAUAAGUGAUUGCAGAAAGGUAAAAUAUGUUACAAAAUUAAGUGAUGGAAUACAGUAGAUUUUAUGUGGUAUCCUACCACUGACAAGCUUAAGUAGGGGUGUGCACUAUUCGGUUUAAGCUAAAUAAACAGAAUUGAACCGAACCACUUUAAUUUAAUAUUUCAGUUCGGU